GUAGGUGGCAAGCGUUGUCCGGAAUUAUUGGGCGUAAAGCGCGCGCAGGCGGUCCUUUAAGUCUGAUGUGAAAGCCCACGGGCUCAACCGUGGAGGGUCAUUGGUAACUGGGGGACUUGAGUACAGAAGAGGAAAGCGGAAUUCCAAGUGUAGCGGUGAAAUGCGUAGAGAUUUGGAGGAACACCAGUGGCGAAGGCGGCUUUCUGGUCUGUAACUGACGCUGAGGCGCGAAAGCGUGGGGAGCAAACAGGAUUAGAUACCCUGGUAGUCCACGCCGUAAACGAUGAGUGCUAAGUGUUAGGGGGUUUCCGCCCCUUAGUGCUGCAGCUAACGCAUUAAGCACUCCGCCUGGGGAGUACGGCCGCAAAGGCUGA
rnacentral:rRNA from 1 species